rnacentral:lncRNA from 1 species
CUAGAUUGAGUAUCCAUGUAUGCUCAUCCUCUUGGUAGGUACUAUGGCAUCUUAAUAACUGUACCUUCACCCACGAUCACUCCGCUGACUGUUAAGAGUUUGUUACCUGUGAACGCGUAUAUGUAAUGUAAUCCGCUAGGAUCCAUGUUAUAAGUUAAAUAUGUAUAUUUGAUUACUUAUGCCAACAUGAGUUGGCAAACGGGUGACAUUAUUUUGACAUAAUAAAAUGGUGAGUAUUGGGUCACUAUAAAAUGUUACUGAAAUAUUUU